AUGGUUCUUGCUGGACUCGAACCAGCGACCGAACGGUUAGCUACCAACUGAGCUAAAGAACC
rnacentral:tRNA from 1 species